CNACGCAGUAAACGAUGAUAACUAGCUGUUUGCGAUACACAGUAAGCGGCACAGCGAAAGCGUUAAGUUAUCCACCUGGGGAGUACGCCGGCAACGGUGAAACUCAAAGGAAUUGACGGGGGCCCGCACAAGCGGAGGAACAUGUGGUUUAAUUCGAUGAUACGCGAGGAACCUUACCCGGGCUUGAACGUAGGGAGACAGUUCUGGAAACAGAAUCUCUAGCAAUAGCUGCCUACGAGGUGCUGCAUGGUUGUCGUCAGCUCGUGCCGUGAGGUGUCGGCUUAAGUGCCAUAACGAGCGCAACCCACAUCGAUAGUUACUAACAGGUUAAGCUGAGGACUCUAUCGAGACUGCCAGCGUANNNNNNNNNGAAGGUGUGGAUGACGUCAAAUCAGCACGGCCCUUACGUCCGGGGCGACACACGUGUUACAAUGGGAGGUACAAAGGGCAGCUACCUGGCGACAGGAUGCUAAUCUCUAAAACCUUUCUCAGUUCGGAUUGGAGUCUGCAACUCGACUCCAUGAAGCUGGAUUCGCUAGUAAUCGCGCAUCAGCCAUGGCGCGGUGAAUACGUUCCCGGGCCUUGUACACACCGCCCGUCAAGCCAUGGAAGCUGGGGGUACCUGAAGUAUGCAACCGCAAGGAGCGUCCUAGGGUAAAACCGGUAACUGGGGCU
rnacentral:rRNA from 1 species